rnacentral:misc_RNA from 1 species
GUGACCUUGACGCCGUUGUAUCUGAGGAUCUCGCCGAUGAGCUCCCCCCUGCCGGAGCCGACGUAGCGGCCGACGAUGUCGCCGUCCCUGAUGAAGAGGAAGGUGGGCACCUCGACGACGUCCAUGUCGCGGAGGAACUCCAUGCAGCUGUCGUUCUCGUCGCCGUUCAUGCGGGCGAAGACGGUGGUGUCGGCCAUGGUGCGCGACAGCUUCACGACGGUGGGGUACAC